rnacentral:rRNA from 1 species
AUAUUACUAGGCGGAGGAAAGGAAACUAACAAGGAUUCCCAUAGUAACGGCGAGUGAAGUGGGAAUAGCUCAGACUGAAAAUCUUCGGAGUUGUAGUCUGUCGGGUUGCGAUCCGUAGUUGACGUGGAGAAAAUCUCCUGGAAUGGAGUGCCAUGGAGGGUGACAGCCCCGUUCCUCCAUGUAAUACUACUCAGGAUCCAUCCCCUAAGAGUCGAGUUGUUUGGGACUGCAGCUCAAAGUGGGUGGUAAAUUCCAUCUAAAGCUAAAUACCGGUGGGAGACCGAUAGCGCACAAGUA